ACAUGCAAGUCGAGGGGCAUCAGUUUGGUUUGCUUGCAAACCAAAGCUGGCGACCGGCGGAAGGGUGCGUAACGCGUGAGCGACAUGCCCGUUGCCCGGGGACAACCGGUGGAAACGCCGACUAAUCCCCGAUGGGACGGAGGCCCUCAUGGGUCUCUGUUGAAAGUUACGGCGGCGACGGAUUGGCUCGCGUCCGAUUAGCUAGUUGGCGGGGUAACGGCCCACCAAGGCUACGAUCGGUAGGGGUUCUGAGAGGAAGGUCCCCACAAUGGAACUGAGACACGGUCCAUACUCC
rnacentral:rRNA from 1 species